rnacentral:rRNA from 1 species
AUUGAACGCUGGCGGCAGGCCUAACACAUGCAAGUCGAACGCGUGGCGGACGGGUGAGUAAUGUCUGGGAAACUGCCUGAUGGAGGGGGAUAACUACUGGAAACGGUAGCUACUACCGCCUACCAUCGGAUGUGCCCAGAUUGGAUUAGCUUGUAGGUGGGGUAAAGGCUCACCUAGGCGACGAUCCCUAGCUGGUUUGAGAGGAUGACCAGGCACACGGCAACUGAGACACGGUCCAGACUCCUACGUGAGGCAGCAGUGGGGAAUAUGGCACAAUGGGCGCAAGCCUGAUGCAGCCAUGCCGAGUAGAUGGAGAAGGCCUGCGGGUUGUAAAGUAAUUUCAGCGGGAAGGCGUUACCCGCAGAAGAAGCACCGGCUAACUCCGUGCCAGCAGACGCGGUAAUAC